rnacentral:rRNA from 1 species
UGGGGAAUAUUGGACAAUGGGGGCAACCCUGAUCCAGCAAUGCCGCGUGUGUGAAGAAGGUCUUCGGAUUGUAAAGCACUUUCGACGGGGACGAUGAUGACGGUACCCGUAGAAGAAGCCCCGGCUAACUUCGUGCCAGCAGCCGCGGUAAUACGAAGGGGGCUAGCGUUGCUCGGAAUGACUGGGCGUAAAGGGCGUGUAGGCGGUUUACACAGUCAGAUGUGAAAUCCCCCGGGCUUAACCUGGGAGCUGCAUUUGAUACGUGUAGACUAGAGUGUGAGAGAGGGUUGUGGAAU